rnacentral:rRNA from 1 species
UGUGGGGAGGAACGAACCGUCCGGGGGCUAAUACCCUCCGGGCCUGACGGUACCUCUUUAGCAAGCAUCGGCUAACUCUGUGCCAGCAGCCGCGGUAAGACAGAGGAUGCGAACGUUGCUCGGAAUUACUGGGCGUAAAAGCGCGCGUAGGUGGCCUUGUAAGUCUCGUGUGAAAGCCCUCUGCUCAACGGAGGAAGUGCACGGGAUACUGCGAGGCUGGAGUACAGAAGAGGUACAGCCGGAAUUCCCGGUGUAGAGGUGAAAAUUCGUAGAUAUCGGGAGGAACACCAGUGGCGAAGGCGGCUGUCUGGGCUGAUACUGACACUGAGGCGCGAAAAGCGUGGGAAGCAAACAGGAUUAGAUACCCUGGUAGUCCACGCUGUAAACGAUGACGACUGGGUGUUGCGGGUAUUGACCCCCGCGGUGCCGAAGCCAACGCGUUAAGUCGUCCGCCUGGGAAGUACGGCCGCAAGGCUAAAACUCAAAGGAAUUGACGGGG